rnacentral:snoRNA from 1 species
CCUUUGUAAUCUUGACAGGUGUUUAAAAGUAUUAGACAUCAGUUGUAAGGCCGAAGG